rnacentral:rRNA from 1 species
UACAGAGGUCCCGAGCGUUGUUCGGAUUCACUGGGCGUAAAGGGUGCGUAGGUGGUUGGGUAAGUCUGAUGUGAAAUCUCCGGGCUCAACCCGGAAAUGGCAUUGGAUACUAUUCGGCUAGAGGUUUGGAGGGGGGACUGGAAUUCUCGGUGUAGCAGUGAAAUGCGUAGAUAUCGGAAGGAACGCCGGUGGCGAAAGCGACGCGCUGGACCUCUUCUGACGCUGAGGCGCGAAAGCCAGGGGAGCAAACGGG